rnacentral:lncRNA from 1 species
AUGGGUUUAUCGCAAAGGAGGCAAGGAAACAUCAAAGAAGACACUUGGGAAACCAGUGAGAGAGGAUAUGGGAACAGACAGCAAGGUGUCUGUAGUCCGCCGGCCAGCCCCAUGGCCCUGGAGCUGACUCUCAGGAGAGCUUGCAGUGAGCCAAGGGACACCUGGAAAUGUAUGUUGAGUCACCAUCCUCUGCUCAGAGCUGUCAAAACAGCUGCCCUGUACACAGCCUUUACAAGCUGGCGUGAGUGGUCCAGGCCACUAGAUUAUUGUUCCCACUAUUUAUCCACUCUUCAACUCGAGUCAAUUAUCAUUUGCUUCUCUGAGGUUGGGGCUGGCAUGAGAAGCAGAUGAAGAAAUCAAUCUCUAUGGAUAAGGAGAUUUAGGAAAUUGGAACAACAUCUGUACACUCCAGAAGAUUCGGGGAGUGACGGGUUUCUGUGUUUGCUUGUUUGCUCCCUAUAAUAAAUCUCAAUCUUGUGCAGGAGCCUGCUUAAUA